UCUCCGUUGGUGAACCAGCGGAGGGAUCAUUAUCGAGUUUAUAACUCCCAAACCCUAUGUGAACUUACCACUUGUUGCUUCGGCGCGCGCUUCGGCGCCGCCGAGGACACUUAAACUCUUUGUUUUUAUAAGCAUUUCUGAGUGGCCGAAAGGCAAAAUACAAAUGAAUCAAAUCUUUCAACAACGGAUCUCUUGGUUCUG
rnacentral:misc_RNA from 1 species